UGGUGGAGUGAUUUGUCUGGUUAAUUCCGUUAACGAACGAGACCCCUGCCUGCUAAAUAGUUCGGCGAGUGAAUUUCACUGGCUAGAGCUUCUUAGAGGGACGUGCGUUCUAUUAGACGCAGGAAGAUAGGGGCAAUAACAGGUAAGCUUGAAGUGGAAACCAUUGAAAAUCAUUCAUCCCACCGGCAGGCAACUCGACCUCAUUAACGUGCUCUAACACUUCUCUAUGGUUAA
rnacentral:rRNA from 1 species